CACGAACGCUGGCGGCAGGCUUAACACAUGCAAGUCGAGCGCCCCGCAAGGGGAGCGGCAGACGGGUGAGUAACGCGUGGGAAUCUACCCAUCUCUACGGAAUAACGCAUGGAAACGUGUGCUAAUACCAUAUACGUCCUUCGGGAGAAAGAUUUAUCGGAGAUGGAUGAGCCCGCGUUGGAUUAGCUAGUUGGUGGGGUAAAGGCCUACCAAGGCGACGAUCCAUAGCUGGUCUGAGAGGAUGAUCAGCCACACUGGGACUGAGACACGGCCCAGACUCCUACGGGAGGCAGCAGUGGGAAAUAUUGGACAAUGGGCGCAAGCCUGAUCCAGCCAUGCCGCGUGAGUGAUGAAGGCCCUAGGGUUGUAAAGCUCUUUCACCGGUGAAGAUAAUGACGGUAACCGGAGAAGAAGCCCCGGCUAACUUCGUGCCAGCCGCCGCUGUAACAC
rnacentral:rRNA from 1 species